GCUUGCACAGGUGCUGCAUGGCUGUCGUCAGCUCGUGUCGUGAGAUGUUCGGUUAAGUCCGCUAACGAGCGCAACCCUCGCUGUGUGUUAUAUGUGUCACACGGGACUGCCGGUCUUAAGCCGGAGGAAGGUGGGGAUGAUGUCAAGUCAGCAUGGCCUUUAUAUCCUGGGCUACACACACGCUACAAUGGCCAACACAAUAGGUUGCUAAGCCGCGAGGUGGCGCCAAUCCAUAAAGUUGGUCUCAGUUCAGAUUGUAGGCUGCAACCCGCCUGCAUGAAGAUGGAGUUGCUAGUAACCGCAGGUCAGCUAUACUGCGGUGAAUACGUUCCCGGGGCUU
rnacentral:rRNA from 1 species